AAAGAAGGGAUUAGGGGGCGGGGCCAAGAUUAAUUGUUAAUGUGUGACUAAACUAUCUUGCUGAACGUAAACACAACCCUAGAAGAAGACGGGUUGAAGAUCUUCUGGUUUACAUACUUGGUGGACCAGUCUGCCUGCGGGAAUGCUCAAUCCUCAAAGAUCUUUAUCUGAACUACCAAAGAUGUCGGGUCCAAGCCAAGCCGAGAGGGCUGUUUUGGAGGAGGAGUUUAACUGGUUGCUGAAAGAGGAGGUCCAUGCUGUUUUGAAGCAGCUCCAGGAUAUACUGAAGGAGGCAUCCAGGAGGUUCUCCAUUCCCACCCCAGGACUGGAGAACCAACUGAAACAGGAGAACUUCAUCCUGGGCAGCUCAACGUAAGUC